UACUCCCGCCGGCGACCGGCGCACGGGUGAGUAACACGUAUGAAACCUGCCCGUAGCAGGGGAUAAGCGGAAGAAAUUCCGUCUAAUACCGCGUAACAACCCAUGGAGGCAUCUCUGUGGGUUUAAAGGAAGCGAUUCCGGCUACGGAUGGUCAUGCGGCGCAUUAGGUAGUUGGUAGGGUAACGGCCUACCAAGCCGACGAUGCGUAGGGGUUCUGAGAGGAAGGUCCCCCACAUUGGAACUGAGACACGGUCCAAACUCCUACGGGAGGCAGCAG
rnacentral:rRNA from 1 species